AGGACGAACGCUGGCGGCAUGCCUAACACAUGCAAGUCGAACGGAAUAGGACUGGUGUAGCGAUACUUUCGGACCUAGUUAGUGGCGAACGGGUGAGUAACACGUGAGCAACCUGCCUUUUACACAGGGAUAACAGCCGGAAACGGCUGCUAAUACCGGAUAAGACCACACCGAGGCAUCUCGGAGGGGUCAAAGCGAUUUAGCGGUAAAAGAUGGGCUCGCGUCCCAUUAGGCUAGUUGGUGAGAUAACAGCCCACCAAGGCGACGAUGGGUAGCCGACUUGAGAGAGUGAUCGGCCACAUUGGAACUGAGACACGGUCCAGACUCCUUCGGGAGGCAGCAGUGGGGAAUAUUGGGCAAUGGAGGAAACUCUUACCCAGCCAAUGCCGCGUGAAUGAAGAAGGCCUUCGGGUUGUAAAGUUCUUUUAUUGAUGAUAAAGCAAGUGAUAUUAGUCAAUGAAUAAGCCCCGGCUAACUAUGUGCCAGCCGCCGC
rnacentral:rRNA from 1 species